AUUACAAGUAUUGUUUGUAUUUAAGCACAAAGCUACACAAUGGGCUAGCUGUGCUCUGUCUAAAAUGAGAAUCGAAACCCGACUUCUAG